rnacentral:rRNA from 1 species
ACAGAGGGGGCAAGCGUUGCUCGGAAUCACUGGGCGUAAAGGGCGCGUAGGCGGGAUGGCAAGUCAGUCGUGAAAUCUCUCGGCUCAACCGAGAAACGUCGGCUGAUACUGCCGUUCUUGAGGGAUGCAGAGGAGACUGGAAUUCCCGGUGUAGCGGUGAAAUGUGUAGAGAUCGGGAGGAACACCGGUGGCGAAGGCGGGUCUCUGGGCAUUUCCUGACGCUGAGGCGCGAAAGCGUGGGGAGCAAACGGGA